rnacentral:rRNA from 1 species
AGUACGGCCGCAAGGUUAAAACUCAAAUGAAUUGACGGGGGCCCGCACAAGCGGUGGAGCAUGUGGUUUAAUUCGAUGCAACGCGAAGAACCUUACCUACUCUUGACAUCCAGAGAACUUUCCAGAGAUGGAUUGGUGCCUUCGGGAACUCUGAGACAGGUGCUGCAUGGCUGUCGUCAGCUCGUGUUGUGAAAUGUUGGGUUAAGUCCCGCAACGAGCGCAACCCUUAUCCUUUGUUGCCAGCGGUUCGGCCGGGAACUCAAAGGAGACUGCCAGUGAUAAACUGGAGGAAGGUGGGGAUGACGUCAAGUCAUCAUGGCCCUUACGAGUAGGGCUACACACGUGCUACAAUGGCAUAUACAAAGAGAAGCGACCGCGCGAGAGCAAGCGGAACUCAUAAAGUAUGUCGUAGUCCGGAUUGGAGUCUGCAACUCGACUCCAUGAAGUCGGAAUCGCUAGUAAUCGUAGAUCAGAAUGCUACGGUGAAUACGUUCCCGGGCCUUGUACACACCGCCCGUCACACCAUGGGAGUGGGUUGCAAAAGAAGUAGGUAGCUUAACCUCGGGAGGGCGCUUA